rnacentral:tRNA from 1 species
UGCAUCGGCCGGGAAUCGAACCUGGGCCGCCCGCGUGGUAGGCGAGCAUUCUACCACUGAACCACCGAUGC